rnacentral:rRNA from 1 species
UACGUAGGAUCCAAGCGUUGUCCGGAUUACUGGGUGUAAAGGGUGCGCAGGCGGACUGGUUAGUCUGGGGUGAAAUCUCAUCGCUUAACGGUGAAACUGCCUUAGGUACUGCCAGUCUUGAAUUAGGGAGAGGUUCGUGGAAUUCCGAGUGUAGCAGUGAAAUGUGUAGAUAUCAGGAGGAAUACCGAUGGCGAAGGCAGGUCUCUGGGCUAUAACUGACGCUCAUGCACGAAAGCGUGGGGAGCAAACAGG